GAAUAGAAAGCUUUGCUUAAGCAUUGAUUUUGUAAAUCAAAGAUAGGAAAAUACCUCUAUUCA
rnacentral:tRNA from 1 species